UACGUAGGGUGCGAGCGUUGUCCGGAAUUACUGGGCGUAAAGAGCUCGUAGGUGGUUUGUCGCGUUGUUCGUGAAAUCUCACGGCUUAACUGUGAGCGUGCGGGCGAUACGGGCAGACUGGAGUACUGCAGGGGAGACUGGAAUUCCUGGUGUAGCGGUGGAAUGCGCAGAUAUCAGGAAGAACACCCGUGGCGAAGGCGGCUCUCUGGGACGGUACUGACGCUGAGACGCGAAAGCGUGGGGAGCGAACAGG
rnacentral:rRNA from 1 species